UAAUCAUUAGUUUUUUAAUUGARRRCUGGAAUGAAUGGUUGGACGAAAUAAUAACUGUUUCAUAUAAAUUUAAAUUAGAAAUUUAUUUUUUAGUUAAAAAGCUAAAAUUUAAUUAAAAGACGAGAAGACCCUAUAAAUCUUUAUAUUAAGUUAAUAUUUAUUAUUUAGAAAUUUAUAUUAKUWRUUUUAUUAAUAGUAAUAUUUUAUUGGGGUGAUAUUAAAAUUUAAUAAACUUUUAAUUAWUUUAUUACAUUUAUUUAUGAAUAGUUGAUCUAAUAUUAUUGAUUAAGAGAAUAAGUUACUUUAGGGAUAACAGCGUAAUUUUUUUAAAGAGUUCUUAUCGAUAAAAAGGAUUGCGACCCG
rnacentral:rRNA from 1 species